rnacentral:rRNA from 1 species
CCCAGACUCCUACGGGAGGCAGCAGUGAGGAAUAUUGGUCAAUGGCCGAGAGACUGAACCAGCCAAGUCGCGUGAGGGAUGACGGUCCUAUGGAUUGUAAACCUCUUUUGUCAGGGAGCAAAGGGCGCCACGUGUGGCGCUUUGCGAGUACCUGAGGAAAAAGCAUCGGCUAACUCCGUGCCAGCAGCCGCGGUAAUACGGAGGAUGCGAGCGUUAUCCGGAUUUAUUGGGUUUAAAGGGUGCGCAGGCGGGCUGUUAAGCCGGCGGUAAAAAUUCAGGGCUCAACCCUGUCGAGCCGUCGGAACUGGCAGUCUUGAGUGGGCGAGAAGUAUGCGGAAUGCGUGGUGUAGCGGUGAAAUGCAUAGAUAUAACGCAGAACUCCGAUUGCGAAGGCAGCAUACCGGCGCUCAACUGACGCUCAUGCACGAAAGUGUGGGGAUCGAACAGGAUUAGAUACCCCGGUAUGC